GAUGAACGCUGGCGGUAUGCUUAACACAUGCAAGUCGAACGGACUCUUCGGAGUUAGUGGCGGACGGGUGAGUAACGCGUGAGAAUCUGGCUUUGGGUUCGGGACAACCACUGGAAACGGUGGCUAAUACCGGAUGUGCCGAGAGGUAAAAGAGAAAUUGCCUGAAGAUGAGCUCGCGUCUGAUUAGCUAGUUGGUGAGGUAAAGGCUCACCAAGGCAGCGAUCAGUAGCUGGUCUGAGAGGAUGACCAGCCACACUGGGACUGAGACACGGCCAGACUCCUACGGGAGGCAGCAGUGGGGAAUUUUCCGCAAUGGGCGAAAGCCUGACGGAGCAAUACCGCGUGAGGGAAGAAGGCUCUUGGGUUGUAAACCUCUUUUCUUAGGGAAGAACAAAAUGACGGUACCUAAGGAAUCAGCAUCGGCUAACUCCGUG
rnacentral:rRNA from 1 species